CAUCAACAAGUUAGACUUCUUCACCAGAAGGUCACGGGUGAAUGUUUUUCUUUUUUUUUAAACUAUUGGAUUCAGGAAUACAAUGUCUCAGAGGUUUUCAUUAAAGCACAUGGGAAUAGUGUUUCUGAUACUUCUUAUGGCCAGUUUGCAAACCAUAGCCAAACCUUUGAGAAAAAGAACCAUCAGUGAAGUGCAGCUUAUGCAUAAUGUCCAAGAACACAAACAAGUGGGAGAGCGACAGGACUGGCUUCAGGAAAAGUUGAAGGACAUCAUUGUCACGAGUG